rnacentral:rRNA from 1 species
CCUACGGGGGGCAGCAGUGGGGAAUAUUGGACAAUGGGGGCAACCCUGAUCCAGCCAUGCCGCGUGUGUGAAGAAGGCCCUCGGGUUGUAAAGCACUUUCAGUGAGGAAGAACGCCUGGUGGUUAAUACCCAUCAGGAAAGACAUCACUCACAGAAGAAGCACCGGCUAACUCCGUGCCAGCAGCCGCGGUAAUACGGAGGGUGCGAGCGUUAAUCGGAAUUACUGGGCGUAAAGCGCGCGUAGGUGGCUUGAUAAGCCGGUUGUGAAAGCCCCGGGCUCAACCUGGGAACGGCAUCCGGAACUGUCAAGCUAGAGUGCAGGAGAGGAAGGUAGAAUUCCCGGUGUAGCGGUGAAAUGCGUAGAGAUCGGGAGGAAUACCAGUGGCGAAGGCGGCCUUCUGGACUGACACUAACACUGAGGUGCGAAAGCGUGGGUAGCAAACAGGAUUAGAUACCCUAGUAGUC